ACUUGUUUUGAUUUAUGCUGAAAAGGAGCUGAGAUCUGCUGGUAAGUACAACACAUAUAAAACAUAAAACUAACGAAUGAGCUUUGUUUUCAAUGCAGUUCUCAAGAUUUCAAGCUAGGUUUAUUAAGUAAAUUGCAGUAAAAAGUACAUUAAAUUGGCUAGUUCUAGUUUGGGGAGUUUCCCAAGAACUUGAUUGUUUAUUAAGUGGUACCACCUAGAUUUCUUAAGCUGGAGUCCCAAGUUCAAUUCCUGGCGCAGGUUGUUGUAGAAGUUGUAGACUACAUCAGACAUUGGUGUGUUGUGACAUGUAGUAAGUAGGGAAAAAUAUUACAAAUUUUAAGCUUGUGUUUGGAUGUAUUUGUUUUGGAAACUCUAGAUCUUUCUGAAGGGGCGUCAUUGGUGUCUUAUUUGAUGGGAACUCCAUUGUUAAAAGAACUAUUGGUCUAUCACCUAAUUACUAUCCUAUAUUCUAUUUUAAAGCUUUAAGCUGGUUUAAGUGAACAUUCAGGUUACAGUCUGAAGUCUGUCUAGUUCUUCCGAUGUUGCUCAUGGGACUGAGUACAAGGAUUGUUCCAGUGUUAACAUUUUUGCAACUUUUGAGAACUUAUUGAGCGAGAAAGGAGGUUUCUAACAAGGCUCAACUGUGUGCACAGCAUGAAAUGAAUAUGGAUUCAUCAUGUGUUUGAAACUUAGAUAAGGUUGCAAUGGUGGAAUAUUUUUAUAAAAGCCGACUGUCCUUCAAAUGGUUCGAAAUAGAAGAUUUAUUCAUUCACCGAAGAAACGAGUCAAAUGACUAAAAUGUCAAUUCCUAGACCCAUUCAAAUCCCCAGCAACGUUAACCUGCAGAAGGAAAGGGCAGUUUACAUGUCCUUCACACUCGAAGGUCACGGGGAUCAUAACUUAAAACGUGUCAUGCAGUGGUGUAGAGGUUGGACCCAUCCCCGGCAACGUCUACCUGUAGAAGGAAAGGUUAGUUUGCAUGUCCUUGACGCUCGAAGGUCAGGGAGAUCAUUACAUAAAAGGUAAAACUUGUCAUAUAUGCAGUGGGCUAGAGGUUGGGUGAGAACGGGACGUGUUGCAAUCAUUAUCAAGCAGGUAAAAUAACCGCAAGGCUUUAGAGGUAAGGGUGAGAAAAAAAAUCGUAU